rnacentral:rRNA from 1 species
UAGCGGCAGGCCUAACACAUGCAAGUCGAGGGGUAACGAUGGCUUCGGCCAGGCGACGACCGGCGCACGGGUGAGUAUCGCGUUUGUAACCUACCUCUGACUGGAGGAUAGCCCGAAGAAAUUCGGAUUAAUACUCCAUAAUACUAUGGACAGGCAUCUGUUCAUGGUUAAAGCCCCGGCGGUCAGAGAUGGGCAUGCGUGACAUUAGCUUGUUGGUGAGGUAACAGCUCACCAAGGCUACGAUGUCUAGGGGGUCUGAGAGGAUGGUCCCCCACACUGGUACUGAGACACGGACCAGACUCCUACGGGAGGCAGCAGUGAGGAAUAUUGGUCAAUGGGCGAAAGCCUGAACCAGCCAUGCCGCGUGAAGGAUGACAGCCCUAUGGGUUGUAAACUUCUUUUGUACGGGAAGAAACGCUUCUACGUGUAGAGGUUUGACGGUACCGUACGAAUAAGCAUCGGCUAACUCCGUGCCAGCAGCCGCGGUAAUACGGAGGAUGCAAGCGUUAUCCGGAUUUAUUGGGUUUAAAGGGUACGUAGGCGGGAGCUUAAGUCAGUGGUGAAAUCCUGCAGCUUAACUGUAGAACUGUCAUUGAUACUGGGCUUCUUGAAUGUAGUUGAGGUAGGCGGAAUGUGUAAUGUAGCGGUGAAAUGCUUAGAUAUUACACAGAACACCGAUUGCGAAGGCAGCUUACUAAACUACGAUUGACGCUGAGGUUACGAAAACGCCGUGGCGCGAGCGAACAGCGAUUAGAUACCCUGGUAGUCCACGCUGUAAACGAUGAUCACUCGUUGUUGGCAAUACACCGUCAGCGACUGAGCGAAAGCAUUACGUGAUCCACCUGGGGAGUACGACCGCAAGGUUGAAACUCAAAGGAAUUGACAGGGGGCCACGCACAAGCGGAGGAAAACAUGUGGGUUUAAUUCGAUGAUACGNNNCGA